CACACGACUCUCGGCAACGGAUAUCUCGGCUCUCGCAUCGAUGAAGAACGUAGCGAAAUGCGAUACCUGGUGUGAAUUGCAGAAUCCCGUGAACCACCGAGUCUUUGAACGCAAGUUGCGCCCGAGGCCAUCCGGCCGAGGGCACGCCUGCCUGGGCGUCACGC
rnacentral:rRNA from 1 species